UUAUUCCGAAGUAAAUAUUUUUAGCGCUCGAGGACUAUAGUAUCCUGAAACUCAAAGGAAUUGGCGGCUUUUCAACUACCCAGGGGAAUAUGCCACUUCAUUCGAUGUUACGCGUUUAAUUUUAUUGUAUCUUGAACAGUUGGUGUACUGCCGUUGUCAGUUGGCUGUGAAGCACGCUCAACCAUGAAGUCAGGUCAAGGUGCCGCUUAUGAUACUGAGUAGGGGUAUUACAACAUACGGAUUGGGUGAAGGUGUACUUGGAAGUAAAAUUUGAAUAAAUUGCUUUUUUGAAUAAAGUCUGAAUUGCG
rnacentral:rRNA from 1 species